ACUGCGAAACUUGAGGGCAGCAGAGGGAGGUGGAUUCCCGGAGUAGCGGUUGAAAUGCGUAGAUAUCGGGAGGAACACCAGUGGCGAAGGCGGCCUCCUGGGCUGCUCCUGACGCUGAAGGCGAAAGCUAGGGGAGCGAACGGGAUUAGAAACCCCGGUAGUCCUAGCCGUAAACGAUGGAUGCUAGGUUUGGGGGGUGUAGAUUCCCUCCGUGCCGCAGUUAACGCGUUAAGCAUCCCGCCUGGGGAGUACGGCCGCAAGGCUAAAACUCAAACGAAUUGACGGGGGCCCGCACAAGCAGCGGAGCGUGUGGUUUAAUUCGAUGCUACACGAAGAACCUUACCUGGGCUUGACAUACAGGUAGUAGUGAAGUGAAAGCGGAUCGAUCCUUCGGGGAGCCUGUACAGGUGCUGCAUGGCUGUCGUCAGCUCGUGCCGUGAGGUGUCGGGUUAAGUCCCGUAACGAGCGCAACCCUUGCUCUUAGUUAUACGUGUCUAAGAGGACUGCCGGCGGUAAGCCGGAGGAAGGUGGGGAUGACGUCAAGUCAGCAUGGCCUUUAUGUCCAGGGCUACACACACGCUACAAUGGCCGGUACAAUGGGUAGCUAAACCGCGAGGUGGAGCCAAUCCUGUAAAGCCGGUCUCAGUUCGAAUUGCAGGCUGCAACUCGCCUGCAUGAAGUCGGAGUUGCUAGUAAUCGCAGGUCAGCAAUACUGCGCUGAAUACGUUCCCGGGCCUUGUACACACCGCCCGUCACGUCAUGGAAGCUGGCAACACCUGAAGCCGGUGAGCUAACCCGA
rnacentral:rRNA from 1 species